GCUGGGCGUGGUGAUGCGCGCCUGUAAUCCCAGCUACUUGGGAGGCUGAGGCAGAAGAAUCACUUGAACCCAGGAGGUGGAGGUUGCAGUGAGCCUAGAUCGUGCCACUGCAUUCCAGUCUGGGUGACAGAGUGAGACUCUAUCUCAA
rnacentral:SRP_RNA from 1 species